rnacentral:rRNA from 1 species
GACAGAGGGUGCAAACGUUUGUUCGGAAUUACUGGGCGUAAAGCGUGUGUAGGCGGCCACGUAAGUCGGAUGUGAAAGCCCCAGGCUCAACCUGGGAAGUGCACUCGAUACUGCGUGGCUUGAGUAUCGGAGAGGUUGGUGGAAUUCUCGGUGUAGAGGUGAAAUUCGUAGAUAUCGAGAGGAACACCGGUGGCGAAGGCGGCCAACUGGACGAAUACUGACGCUGAGACACGAAAGCGUGGGGAGCAAACAGG